AUCCUUUAUGGGAUAGCGCAGGGAUGGACCUAUGGCGCAUUAGCUGGUUGGCGGGGCAACGGCCCACCAAGGCAACGAUGCGUAGCCGGCCUGAGAGGGCGGACGGCCACAUUGGGACUGAGACACGGCCCAGACUCCUACGGGAGGCAGCAGUAGGGAAUUUUCGGCAAUGGGGGAAACCCUGACCGAGCAACGCCGCGUGAGCGAAGAAGGCCUUCGGGUCGUAAAGCUCUGUUGUAAAGGAAGAACGGCGCAUACAGGAAAUGGUAUGCGAGUGACGGUACUUUACCAGAAAGCCACGGCUAACUACGUGCCAGCAGCCGCGGUAAUACGUAGGUGGCGAGCGUUAUCCGGAAUCAUUGGGCGUAAAGAGGGAGCAGGCGGCCGCAAGGGUCUGUGGUGAAAGACCGAAGCUAAACUUCGGUAAGCCAUGGAAACCGGGCGGCUAGAGUGCGGAAGAGGAUCGUGGAAUUCCAUGUGUAGCGGUGAAAUGCGUAGAUAUAUGGAGGAACACCAGUGGCGAAGGCGACGGUCUGGGCCGCAACUGACGCUCAUUCCCGAAAGCGUGGGGAGCAAAUAGGAUUAGAUACCCUAGUAGUCCACGCCGUAAACGAUGGUCACUAAGUGUCGGGGGUCAAACCCCGGUGCUGCAGUCCA
rnacentral:rRNA from 1 species